GGUUGCGAUCAUACCAGCACUAAUGCACCGGAUUCCAUCUGAAUUCCGAAGUUAAGCGUGCUUGUGCGAGAGUAGUACUAGGAUGGGUGACCCACUGGGAAGUACUCGUGUUGCAAACC
rnacentral:rRNA from 1 species